GGGCGAGUGGCGGAAUUGGUAGACGCGCACGACUCAAAAUCGUGUUCCUUCGGGAGUGAGAGUUCGAUUCUCUCCCCGCCCACAA
rnacentral:tRNA from 1 species